CCCUUAGAUGUCCUGGGCCGCACGCGCGCUACACUGAUGCAUUCAACGAGUUUCCUUGACCGAGAGGUCUGGGUAAUCUUUUGAACGUGCAUCGUGAUAGGGAUAGAUUAUUGCAAUUAUUAAUCUUGAACGAGGAAUUCCUAGUAAACGCAGAUCAUCAAUCUGCAUUGAUUACGUCCCUGCCCUUUGUACACACCGCCCGUCGCACCUACCGAUUGAAUGGUCCGGUGAAGCCUCGGGAUUGUGGCGAGUUCCCUUUAUUGGGAGUUUGUCGCGAGAACUUGUCUAAACCUUAUCAUUUAGAGGAAGGUGAAGUCGUAACA
rnacentral:rRNA from 1 species